rnacentral:rRNA from 1 species
GCGAACCCUAUGUAGUUGCCAUCAUUCAGUUGGGCACUCUAGCGAGACUGCCGGUAAUAAACCGGAGGAAGGUGGGGAUGACGUCAAAUCAUCAUGCCCUUAUGACCUGGGCUACACACGUGCUACAAUGGUUGGUACAACGAGUUGCGAGUCGGUGACGGCGAGCUAAUCUCUUAAAGCCAAUCUCAGUUCGGAUUGUAGGCUGCAACUCGCCUACAUGAAGUCGGAAUCGCUAGUAAUCGCGGAUCAGCACGCCGCGGUGAAUACGUUCCCGGGCCUU